rnacentral:rRNA from 1 species
CGCGUCGUUUGUUCUGCAGUCGAGCGACGGACGAGAAGCUUGCUUCUCUGAUGUUAGCGGCGGACGGGUGAGUAACACGUGGAUAACCUACCUAUAAGACUGGGAUAACUUCGGGAAACCGGAGCUAAUACCGGAUAAUAUUUUGAACCGCAUGGUUCAAAAGUGAAAGACGGUCUUGCUGUCACUUAUAGAUGGAUCCGCGCUGCAUUAGCUAGUUGGUAAGGUAACGGCUUACCAAGGCAACGAUGCAUAGCCGACCUGAGAGGGUGAUCGGCCACACUGGAACUGAGACACGGUCCAGACUCCUACGGGAGGCAGCAGUAGGGAAUCUUCCGCAAUGGGCGAAAGCCUGACGGAGCAACGCCGCGUGAGUGAUGAAGGUCUUCGGAUCGUAAAACUCUGUUAUUAGGGAAGAACAUAUGUGUAAGUAACUGUGCACAUCUUGACGGUACCUAAUCAGAAAGCCACGGCUAACUACGUGCCAGCAGCCGCGGUAAUACGUAGGUGGCAAGCGUUAUCCGGAAUUAUUGGGCGUAAAGCGCGCGUAGGCGGUUUUUUAAGUCUGAUGUGAAAGCCCACGGCUCAACCCGUGGAGGGUCAUUGGAAACUGGAAAACUUGAGUGCAGAAGAGGAAAGUGGAAUUCCAUGUGUAGCGGGUGAAAUGCGCAGAGAUAUGGAGGGAACACCAGUGGCCGAGCGACUUUCUGGUCUGUACUGACGCUGAUGUGCGAAAGCGUGGGGGAUCAAAACAGGAAUUUAAGAAAAUACCCCUUUG